GGGUUGUGAGGUUAAGCGACUAAGCGUACACGGUGGAUGCCCUGGCAGUCAGAGGCGAUGAAGGACGUGCUAAUCUGCGAUAAGCGUCGGUAAGGUGAUAUGAACCGUUAUAACCGGCGAUUUCCGAAUGGGGAAACCCAGUGUGUUUCGACACACUAUCAUUAACUGAAUCCAUAGGUUAAUGAGGCGAACCGGGGGAACUGAAACAUCUAAGUACCCCGAGGAAAAGAAAUCAACCGAGAUUCCCCCAGUAGCGGCGAGCGAACGGGGAGCAGCCCAGAGCCUGAAUCAGUGUGUGUGUUAGUGGAAGCGUCUGGAAAGGCGCGCGAUACAGGGUGACAGCCCCGUACACAAAAAUGCACAUACUGUGAGCUCGAUGAGUAGGGCGGGACACGUGGUAUCCUGUCUGAAUAUGGGGGACCAUCCUCCAAGGCUAAAUACUCCUGACUGACCGAUAGUGAACCAGUACCGUGAGGGAAAGGCGAAAAGAACCCCGGCGAGGGGAGUGAAAAAGAACCUGAAACCGUGUACGUACAAGCAGUGGGAGCCUCUUUUAUGGGGUGACUGCGUACCUUUUGUAUAAUGGGUCAGCGACUUAUAUUCUGUAGCAAGGUUAACCGAAUAGGGGAGCCGAAGGGAAACCGAGUCUUAACCGGGCGUUAAGUUGCAGGGUAUAGACCCGAAACCCGGUGAUCUAGCCAUGGGCAGGUUGAAGGUUGGGUAACACUAACUGGAGGACCGAACCGACUAAUGUUGAAAAAUUAGCGGAUGACUUGUGGCUGGGGGUGAAAGGCCAAUCAAACCGGGAGAUAGCUGGUUCUCCCCGAAAGCUAUUUAGGUAGCGCCUCGUGAAUUCAUCUCCGGGGGUAGAGCACUGUUUCGGCAAGGGGGUCAUCCCGACUUACCAACCCGAUGCAAACUGCGAAUACCGGAGAAUGUUAUCACGGGAGACACACGGCGGGUGCUAACGUCCGUCGUGAAGAGGGAAACAACCCAGACCGCCAGCUAAGGUCCCAAAGUCAUGGUUAAGUGGGAAACGAUGUGGGAAGGCCCAGACAGCCAGGAUGUUGGCUUAGAAGCAGCCAUCAUUUAAAGAAAGCGUAAUAGCUCACUGGUCGAGUCGGCCUGCGCGGAAGAUGUAACGGGGCUAAACCAUGCACCGAAGCUGCGGCAGCGACACUGUGUGUUGUUGGGUAGGGGAGCGUUCUGUAAGCCUGUGAAGGUGUACUGUAAGGUAUGCUGGAGGUAUCAGAAGUGCGAAUGCUGACAUAAGUAACGAUAAAGCGGGUGAAAAGCCCGCUCGCCGGAAGACCAAGGGUUCCUGUCCAACGUUAAUCGGGGCAGGGUGAGUCGACCCCUAAGGCGAGGCCGAAAGGCGUAGUCGAUGGGAAACAGGUUAAUAUUCCUGUACUUGGUGUUACUGCGAAGGGGGACGGAGAAGGCUAUGUUGGCCGGGCGACGGUUGUCCCGGUUUAAGCGUGUAGGCUGGUUUUCCAGGCAAAUCCGGAAAAUCAAGGCUGAGGCGUGAUGACGAGGCACUACGGUGCUGAAGCAACAAAUGCCCUGCUUCCAGGAAAAGCCUCUAAGCAUCAGGUAACAUCAAAUCGUACCCCAAACCGACACAGGUGGUCAGGUAGAGAAUACCAAGGCGCUUGAGAGAACUCGGGUGAAGGAACUAGGCAAAAUGGUGCCGUAACUUCGGGAGAAGGCACGCUGAUAUGUAGGUGAAGUCCCUCGCGGAUGGAGCUGAAAUCAGUCGAAGAUACCAGCUGGCUGCAACUGUUUAUUAAAAACACAGCACUGUGCAAACACGAAAGUGGACGUAUACGGUGUGACGCCUGCCCGGUGCCGGAAGGUUAAUUGAUGGGGUCAGCGCAAGCGAAGCUCUUGAUCGAAGCCCCGGUAAACGGCGGCCGUAACUAUAACGGUCCUAAGGUAGCGAAAUUCCUUGUCGGGUAAGUUCCGACCUGCACGAAUGGCGUAAUGAUGGCCAGGCUGUCUCCACCCGAGACUCAGUGAAAUUGAACUCGCUGUGAAGAUGCAGUGUACCCGCGGCAAGACGGAAAGACCCCGUGAACCUUUACUAUAGCUUGACACUGAACAUUGAGCCUUGAUGUGUAGGAUAGGUGGGAGGCUUUGAAGUGUGGACGCCAGUCUGCAUGGAGCCGACCUUGAAAUACCACCCUUUAAUGUUUGAUGUUCUAACGUGGACCCGUGAUCCGGGUUGCGGACAGUGUCUGGUGGGUAGUUUGACUGGGGCGGUCUCCUCCUAAAGAGUAACGGAGGAGCACGAAGGUUGGCUAAUCCUGGUCGGACAUCAGGAGGUUAGUGCAAUGGCAUAAGCCAGCUUGACUGCGAGCGUGACGGCGCGAGCAGGUGCGAAAGCAGGUCAUAGUGAUCCGGUGGUUCUGAAUGGAAGGGCCAUCGCUCAACGGAUAAAAGGUACUCCGGGGAUAACAGGCUGAUACCGCCCAAGAGUUCAUAUCGACGGCGGUGUUUGGCACCUCGAUGUCGGCUCAUCACAUCCUGGGGCUGAAGUAGGUCCCAAGGGUAUGGCUGUUCGCCAUUUAAAGUGGUACGCGAGCUGGGUUUAGAACGUCGUGAGACAGUUCGGUCCCUAUCUGCCGUGGGCGCUGGAGAACUGAGGGGGGCUGCUCCUAGUACGAGAGGACCGGAGUGGACGCAUCACUGGUGUUCGGGUUGUCAUGCCAAUGGCACUGCCCGGUAGCUAAAUGCGGAAGAGAUAAGUGCUGAAAGCAUCUAAGCACGAAACUUGCCCCGAGAUGAGUUCUCCCUGACCCUUUAAGGGUCCUGAAGGAACGUUGAAGACGACGACGUUGAUAGGCCGGGUGUGUAAGCGCAGCGAUGCGUUGAGCUAACCGGUACUAAUGAACCGUGAGGCUUAACCUUACAACGCCGAAGGUGUUU
rnacentral:rRNA from 2 species